AUGGACCACUCGUACACUCCGGUUCUGAGCGCGCCGCCCGCACUCGCCUGACCGCCGCUCGCCACGUGUUGGUAGCC
rnacentral:sRNA from 2 species